rnacentral:rRNA from 1 species
CCUACGGGGGGCAGCAGUGGGGAAUAUUGCACAAUGGGGGAAACCCUGAUGCAGCGACGCCGCGUGAGUGAAGAAGUAAUUCGUUACGUAAAGCUCUAUCAGCAGGGAAGAAACACUGACCUUACGGUCAGCAGACGGUACCUGAGUAAGACGCCCCGGCUAACUACGUGCCAGCAGCCGCGGUAAUACGUAGGGGGCAAGCGUUAUCCGGAUUUACUGGGUGUAAAGGGAGCGUAGACGGUGCGCCAAGUCUGGAGUGAAAUGCCGAAGCUUAACUGCGGAACUGCUUUGGAAACUGGCGAACUAGAGUGCGGGAGGGGUAAGCGGAAUUCCUAGUGUAGCGGUGAAAUGCGUAGAUAUUAGGAGGAACACUGGUGGCGAAGGCGGCUUACUGGACCGUAACUGACGUUGAGGCUCGAAAGCGUGGGGAGCAAACAGGAUUAGAUACCCCUGUAGUC